rnacentral:lncRNA from 1 species
AAGAUCAUAGCUCACUGCAGCCUCAACUGCUCUGGCUCAAGCCGUCCUCCCACCUCAGCCUCCCAAGUAGCUGAGACUAUAGGUGGGGGUCACCCUGCCCAACAAAUUAAAAAAUAUAUAGAGAGACAAGGGUCUCACUAAGUUACCCUGGCUAGUCUUAAAUUCCUGGGCUCAAUCCAUCCUCCUGCCUCAGCCUCCUAAAAUGCUGGAAUGACAGGAGUGCCCUACCAUGUCUGGCUGUUGCCCUGUUUUGAGUGGGUUAUUGUCUCCUCUAAAAAUUGAUUCAUGUAUUUGUGCUCCCUCCCUGGGCAUUUGAUGCUGGUGACCAGUCCCUGCUCCAGGCAACCCACAGGGCAGGACCCACCCUCCUGGAAUCAGUUUCACUAACCUGGCGAAAGCCCAGAUGGCAAAGGAAGGCGUUGAUUGCAGCCUGGGAUGGCCGGGAGCACUCAGGAAUCAGGUCAGCCAACGUGUCUUUCAAAUUCGUGGAGGAAGCACUGGCGUGCUGAGCAGCAAGAACGAGACAAGAUAAAGGAGCGGCCACUUACAGUGAUGGGAAAGACUGAAGAGUGGGACCGUUUGAUUUGGUUUCAAAUCAGCAUCAGUACCUCUCAUUUUAUAAUGGAAGACUUUUUGUGUGAGUGUGAAAAAAAUGUGUCUUGGCUGAAUGCAGCGGCUCAUGCCUGUAAUCCCAGCACUUUGGGAAGCUGAGACAGGAGGAUCACUUGAGCCCAGGAGUUCAAGACCAAUCUGGGCAACAUAGCAAGACCCUAGUUCUCUUGAAAAAAAAAAAGAAAAAAUGUGUCUGAAGCCUGUGACCCUAGAAUCAUCCAGAUAAUACUUCAACCAUGAACUGUGCUAGAAGCUGCAUGCUUAUCAUCAUUUCUCUUUACAAUGUCCCUGUGACACUGGUGUGACCACGAGCAUGCCAAUUUUAUCUUUAUUACUGUACAUUAUAAUACUUACCAAGCACUUCUUGGGGUUUUAAGUACAGAGACAUAAAGUUAUUUGACCAAAGUCACACAGCCAGUAGGUGGCAGAGGUGGGAUUCGAAUUGGGUUAUACUGUACCCUGGAGGCCCUACCCCUUCAAGACAUUAUUUUGUGCCUAAUUGCAAAUCUGAACUUUAUACCACCUCCAAAAGAAAUGCUUGAUAAUAAUUCUGAAUUAUCCAUUUCCACACUGUAGGAGGGUGAACUAAGUAAUUUUUUUCAUAGGGCAACUGUUUGCUUUUAAGUCUACAAAUACAAAAAAUAAGCAUUUCCCCAUUGAAGAGGAAGUGAAACUAGACCCUCCAUGCUUUGCUUAGUCAAGGGGAACAUUUAAUAUGCCAGCCAUUAUACAUUUGAGGAAGUGGGUCAGGAGGCUAACAGGCCAACGAAGAAUCAGAGAAAUGCAUGCUUCUCCAUAAUAAUUGUUUACAAUGGAAGGAAAGUCCCCAAAGCAGUAUACAUUCUAAAUUUCUACUUUGUCCAAGUCAAAGAUCCUUGAACGUGGCAAGGGGUAGAUGUGCACCCUGCAGGGCAUGCAAUACACAUGCACGGUUUGUAGGAUGAACUCGAUCUUCUUUCUUUCAACUUCCUUUCCCUGAAAUGACAAACAGCAACAGAACUAGGAUAGGAAGACCCAGCUUUGGUUCAUGUAUUUAUUCUUGAUUAUCAUUGUCAUAAAGAUGUGAGUUACAGGAAGUAGAUACCAGCCAAAGCUGGUACAGAGCUGGUUAUAGAAGGAAGCUUUUGGGUACAACCCCAGUUUAAUUUCAGAGGAAAGCACUACAUGCAAUACAAAUGCUUUAUUUUACCAACUUAUCUCUUUAAAAAGAAAAACAAACUCACGUACUGUUUUCCAUGCAGUUAUGAUUUUAAUGAAAUCAAAUAAACUCUUCUUGCUCAGGGUGAAUAUAUACUUGAACUUCAUAAGUAACCAUUUCAGGUGAAUUCUCCCAGUUUCUAAGCAACUGGUCACCUGGCAGCAAAGCCUGCUUGCUACUCCACAAGGGGUCUGCUCAGCACACUGGCACCUCCUGCCUUUUGCUUUUCCCUCUACUGGGUACAAUCCCCAGUACUUCAUUUUCCAAAGAGAUAGUGGUGACAAGAUUGGAUGUUCAGAAAAUCGACACUUUACAGAAGAUAAGGUGAACAUAGCGUAGCUGGAGGGAUAUUUAAUCUUUUACCUGUAGCUCUCUGCUUAGGAACAAAAGGAAAGGCAGCUUUUUUUUUUUUUUCUUUUUGCGAUGGAGUCUCGCUCUGUUGCCAGGCUGGAGUGCAGUGGCACAAUCUCGGCUCACUGCAACCUCUGUUCAAGCGGAUUCUCCUGCCUCAGCCUCCUGAAUGUCAGACUA